UACGUAGGGUGCGAGCGUUAAUCGGAAUUACUGGGCGUAAAGUGUGCGCAGGCGGCCGCGCAAGUCGAGUGUGAAAGCCCCGGGCUUAACUUGGGAAUUGCGCUCGAAACUACGUGGCUGGAGUGUGGCAGAGGAAGGUGGAAUUCCGACGUGUAGCGGUGAAAUGCGUAGGAGAAUGUGGAGGAACACCAAUGGCGAAGGCAG
rnacentral:rRNA from 1 species